UGGGGGAAUAUUGCACAAUGGAGGAAACUCUGAUGCAGCGACGCCGCGUGAGCGAAGAAGUAUUUCGGUAUGUAAAGCUCUGUCAGCAGGGAAGAUAAUGACGGUACCUGACCAAGAAGCCCCGGCUAACUACGUGCCAGCAGCCGCGGUAAUACGUAGGGGGGCAAGCGUUAUCCGGAUUUACUGGGUGUAAAGGGAGUGUAGGUGGCUGCACAAGUCAGGAGUGAAAGCCCGGGGCUCAACCCCGGUACUGCAUUGGAAACUGUCGUACUAGAGUGUCGGAGGGGUAAGUGGAAUUCCUAGUGUAGCGGUGAAAUGCGUAGAUAUUAGGAGGAACACCAGUGGCGAAGGCGGCUUACUGGACGAUAACUGACGCUGAGGCUCGAAAGCGUGGGGAGCAAACAGGAUUAGAUACCCUGGUAGU
rnacentral:rRNA from 1 species